CUCAGCAUUCUCAUGGCCACCACCACAUGCUUCCCAGUUCCAUCUGUGGGCCAGUCAAGAGGGAAAGUGGCUUGCCCAGGAUAAUGACCAUAUAUGUCUGGAUUCUUGGUGGGUUUGCUUUAGUUCAAGGCAUUUCCCAUAAUCGGGUUUAUUUACCUGAUACCAGAAAUGACCCUGAAUCUGCAGCUUCCUGCAGAAAGGAAUUUCCUAACCCGGGCCCCAGUGCGAGGUCUCAUCACGUAGGAGCCCACCUGUGUUGCUCUGGGGGCAGCCUCUCGUCACCAUCUCCCUCUCUGCUCAGAGUUGUGGCAGCUGUGGCCGGUAGAGAGUGGAUAAGGAGCCAGCAAAGCUGGACAGCUGGGGAUCGUUAGCUACAAUCAAGGAGCAGCAUUAAAAGGCAGCAGGGUUGAGUGUCUCGGUUCUUUCGUUGCCCUGCCUGAGGAAGCCAUCUGGACAGAGGAAAUUUGCCUUAAACCUUGGCAAGAGUACUUUGUUCUGUUUGAACUCUGUUUAAAGCCUCAGAGUGGGUGAUCGUUUUGUUUAAAUUUUCCUUAAAACAAAGAGUGGGAGAUCCCCCACAAUUAACAACAGGAACCUUCUUCCCCUCUUAGCAGAUUUGAUAGGAAAAAACACUAGGACUAUUCUGACAUCCAUUAGUGCAGCUCAGUUAGCAAGAUGGACAGGAAGACAUAGAGGGGGAGGAUUUUGCCGGCUCAGGAGAGUUAACUGGUCUUCCGCAUAGAUCAUCCAUGGGUUAGACCUGGGUCAGCUUUUUAGACUUAGAUAGGAGAAGGGCCUGCAGGAAGAUGAGACAAGGCUACGUUUCCAAAUUCACCACUGGUACCCAUGUGAGUGCAUCUAGAGAGAGAACACCUCACCCAAGAAGUAUGGUACAGACCUGGCCAAUAAUGGACAUCUCCACCUAUGUUCAGGAAAGACUUUUUUCUGGCUUUUUCCUACCAUUUCCAGAUGGUAAAAUAUUUCUAGUGCUGUGACAUAUUUAUUAUGACCCAAUCGUCUUGUCAAAUUCAUUGGUGGAUAAUUCCUAGAAAUCAGGGAAAGUCACCAAGUUGUAUUUACCUUCCCUUGACUGGUGGUAUUUCUAUCUUUGAUUCUUAGUACAGAGAAAGCAUGGAAUGAAGAGAAGUGAGUGUUCCUAUUGCUAGAAUCAUUUCAGAGGUGCACUACUAGGUACUUCGGGGAGUUCAAUUAAAAAAAGUUGAUGGAUCAAUAUGGAAGAAAAGGUAGAAGGUUAUUUGUAGUUAGGUACAUAUUAAGAAAUUGUACUUCCCUGAAUGAUGAGAGGAAUGAUGAUUAAAGGAAGAGGUGGAAUUUCCCGAAAUGGUGAAAUUCAUCUCUCAUCUGCCUUCCCCUUCUUUCCCCAUCCUGGCCCAUAGCACCAAGUCACUAGAAUUUAGGCAGCAUGUGGAAAAAGAAGUCCAUCUCUAAGGCAGAGUUGACUCGUUCAGCUUUCUCCUGUAUGGAGCAGUGGUGAUUCAUGCCUUCCUCCGCUGUCACACUGUCAGCAUCCGCUAAUCAUAGCCCCGUGAUCACAGGACUUGGGCACAUAAACAAUUUCCAGGAGGUUCAGAGCAGCCCAGGGACCUCGCAGGCACAAACACCGGUUAUUCUGUAAUUCAUUACAUGCCCCUCCCCAUCAUCUUGACAUGUGCUUGAAAUAAUAGCUUUCCUUAAAACGUUUGAACAUGUUGGUGGACUAGAUCCUUUCACUGUCCUUGGUACACACAUUGUUGUCUUACUAAGUCUGCUUUUAAAUGGAACUCUUUGGCUGUCCUGCUGAAGCUCAGGGGGCGGGGGGAUGUGUUUCGUGAAGAAUAUCAAGAGGAUACAGUGAUGGGAUUUCAAACACAAAUUGGUUCUUCUUGUGCUUUGCAUGUAUAUGUUGUGAGAGGCGAGAGAGUGAGGCCCUUGAAUGCUAUUGUGAAGCAGACUGCAUAUAUUUGGUGCUUAAAUUUGUAUGUAUUUUUUUACACUAGUAAGUCAGGUCAUUUACCUCCCACUCUUCCUCAAACAGAUGUCUUUAGCAAACUUAAGUUCCUCCAGUCAGUCUGUUUAUUCAGCCUGAGGCAGGAAUCAAUAACUUCUAGUGACACUGACAGGAUUAGUUUCUAUAUUCAAUAAAUAUGUAUUUUUGAUUACCUACUGUGCCAUGCAUAACAAUAGACAUUGGAGAGUUUGCAGUUUCUGUUCCCAUAGGAUCUAGAAUUAAGAAACAUUUAUAUUUGAAACCACGAUUGUCCAGUGCCUACAGUAUCUGUUGGGUUGUUACAAAAAUGGCUGGUAGAUUUUAUAAAGUUUCUUAGUUAUAUUGAACUUCAAACAUAGAAGAAGAAAAUAUUAUCUGGUUCUUAUAUGUCUUAGCUGUGUGUCCUCAGUGAUUAGAAAAUGAGAAAGCUGUGUCUGUGUUGGCUCUUCCAGUGUCAAGUGUUAUCUUUACGAGGGAUUCUUAGCUGUAUAAGUUGUGUUUCAAAAUGAAGGCAAAAUUGCUAUACGUCAUCCCAAUAGACUAUGUAGGGAUUAAUGUUAUUCCUUUUUAUAGUCACAGGCUCAGCAUGUUUAGUUGAUUUAUCCAAAAUCAUUUAACUCUGUUGGUAUGGAGUAUAGGUUGCUAGAGCCUGGGUUUGAUCUCGUGAUAUAUUACUUUUACUUUUUCCUUUAUUCAUUAAUGAGAAUAGCAUCAAGUGUAAAGACAGGGCAAAUGUUUUGAUUUAGGAUCAUUUAUGGAACUUGAUGGAAUUUUAACUGUGCUUCCCAUAUCACGCACAUGAAUCAAACUCUAAUAUAAUACCUAUGAGAAACAUCAGGCAGAAGAAUUUCUGAGGCAUUUAACUGUGGUUUUAGAAGUCAUUAUUUUUCCCUGAUUAUGCCUCCCCCCACCCCAUGUUCUGGGACCCACUCAUAGUUUUAACAAUACCUUCAAAAUCUGUUUGUCCUGAAUAGAUGAUUCACACAUACUCAGAUAUGAAAAUAAGGAAAUGUUGAAAUGUAUUAAUUAUUAGCAAUAUACAAAUUUAAAUAAUAGAAUAAUAGAAAAGAAAAUAUCCAAAAUUAAAACUCAGUAAUUAUUCUAAUGAAAUAUCUCUCUUAUUUUCCUGUUGGUAGUUUAAAUUAGGAUAAAUCCAUAGGAAAAUAGUUUGGCGCCAUCAGGAGCCAGCAAAAUGCUCUUUGACCUCAUAAUCCCCUUUCUGGGAAUCUAUCCUAAGGAGCAAUCCAAACUAUGGAGAAAGCUACACCCCUGAAACAGCAGAAACCGCAUAUGUGCCUAACAACAGGGGCAUAGUCAAUUAAUUCUCUCUCUCUUUUUUUUUUUUGCUGGAUAGAAUGAAUGACCGUUAAAAAGACCAGUGUAGUGACAUGAUACAGUUACUGACAAUGCAAAAUUAAAAUACAUACAAAUUUGUCUUAUAAUUACAAAUAGAAAAGCAGAUGCACAGGGAAAAUAUAAAAAAUAAAAAAGCUAGAGGAAACUUACCCUAAUACCAAGAGAAGUUUAGCUAGGGUCAUGGGACUUCUUGGUGGUUUUUUUCUUUUUCUAUUUUCCAAAAUUUCAGUCAUGUUAUUUAUAUUACUUUUAUUCAAAUUCUUAAUAAAAAUAUGUCUAAUUGAGUUGUUCUCCACAGCUGUGUUGAAGCUGGCCGGUGGGUUUGGAAGUGAGUGGGAGGAAAGGGGUGGAGUUAGAGCCAGCAAGCAGAACCUGCCACAGAGAGGCCUGGCCUGUCCUCUUCACACAGCUGCCCACGGAGAGGGCCAGUUCCUGAGGGAAGUAUGUCUGCCAAAGCUCUGUAAAGACAUUUGUUAGCCGAAACUCUCACAAAGGUGACCUUUAUUCAUCUGCUUCUUCAUCUGAAAUACUGGAAUAAGAGGAUUUGUCCGAGUUCCUGGCAGCCUUGUUGCCAAGGCAAUGGUGGUAAUGCACAUGAACUUGCAUUGCGUGCCCUGUACCCCACUCUCUGUUAGUUGCUCUUGUUGUAAAAUAAUCCCAAUGGUAACAUUUGAAUCUUGGCUUCCUAAUCUGAAAAAUCGCAAUCACGGUUUUUGUCCUGCUUCCCUCACAGGAUUACUGUUAGAAUCAAAUGAAAUAAUAUAUGUAAAUGAGUUUUGUUGACUCUCAGUGUUCUAGAAAUGAAAGCAGUUAUUUUUGCCUGCACACCUGGUUCCCAAGAUCUCACGCGUUCUGGAGUAACGCCAAGGCCUAGCUUUACAACAUGGUGCCGAUUUCAAGCUUUGGGCCUCACACUUUCUCUGUGGCAGAGAAAGACAUGCUCUGAAAAGACUUUUCUUCUAUUUCCUGCUGGGCCGGGGUUAGAAGAUCCUGUUUAUGUCAAUGAAGACAGCUGUGGAAGCAGAAGAGUUCACAGCCAUGAAAAGAAUUUAGUCAAGAUGAUGUGUCUCAGUGUGAACCGUCCAUCUGAAGACAGCUGGGUUGACUGUGGUGAAGGAACACGUUCGACUCGUCUCCAGACCCAGAAAGCAGCCCUGUCAGUGUGCAGGAAAAGAUGUUGGACAUGAAGAAGCUACCAGCUUGCCGACUUUUGGAAUUUACAAGAUGUUUCUCAAUCAGAAAUGCGGAAUAGUCAAUAAAAAGUUCAGUUUUAAAGAAA